rnacentral:rRNA from 1 species
CUACCAAGACAGUGACGGUUGACGGGGAAUCAGGGUUUGAUACCGGAGAGGGAGCCUGAGAGAUAGCUCCCACGUCCAUGGACGGCAGCAGGCGCGAAAAUUGCCCACUCUUUGUAGGAGGCAGUUAUGAGACGUGAAAUUGAAUAUUUUGUAAAGAAGAAUAGGAGAAUUGGAGGGCAAGUUUGGCGCCAGCCGCCGCGGUAAUACCGACUCCAAGAGCGUGUAUGAGAGAUGCUGCAGUUAAAAAGUCCGUAGUCAUAGAAAGAUAAAUAGGGAUAAGAAAUCUCUUAAAUUAGUUAUAGAAAAACCGAUGAGGAACAUAGUAUACCAGGGCGAGAGAUGAAAUGCCAAGACCCCUGGUGGACUAAGCGAGGCGAAAGCGAUGUUCUUGUAGGUAUUUGAUGAUCAAGGACGAAGGCUGGAGUAUCGAAAGUGAUUAGAUACCGCAGUAGUUCCAGCAGUAAAAGAUGCC